rnacentral:rRNA from 1 species
GACGAACGCUGGCGGCGUGCUUAACACAUGCAAGUCGAACGGAAAGGCCCUGCUUUUGUGGGGUGCUCGAGUGGCGAACGGGUGAGUAACACGUGAGUAACAUGCCCUUGACUUUGGGAUAACUUCAGGAAACUGGGGCUAAUACCGGAUAGGAGCUCCUGCUGCAUGGUGGGGGAUGGAAAGUUUCGGCGGUUGGGGAUGGACUCGCGGCUUAUCAGCUUGUUGGUGAGGUAGUGGCUUACCAAGGCUUUGACGGGUAGCCGGCCUGAGAGGGUGACCGGCCACAUGGGGACUGAGAUACGGCCCAGACUCCUACGGGAGGCAGCAGUCGGGAAUAUUGCACAAUGGGCGGAAGCCUGAUGCAGCAACGCCGCGUGCGGGAUGACGUCCUUCGGGUUGUAAACCGCUUUCGCCUGUGACGAAGCGGGAGUGACGGUAAUGGGUAAAGAAGCACCGGCUAACUACGUG